GGGUCAGUAGGGUGGUCGUGCCACCGGUACGUACUGGUCUCACUGAUUCCUCCUUCCUGAAGAACCGUAAUGCCAUUAAUUUGGUGUUGCGGGGAAACAGGACUGUUACUUUGAAAAAAUUAGAGUGUUUAAAGCAAGCUAACGCUUGAAUACAUUAGCAUGGAAUAAUGAAAUAGGACGAUCGAUCCUAUUUUGUUGGUCUCUAGGAUUGACGUA
rnacentral:rRNA from 1 species